rnacentral:rRNA from 1 species
AGCGAACGCUGGCGGCAGGCCUAACACAUGCAAGUCGAACGAACUCUUCGGAGUUAGUGGCGGACGGGUGAGUAACACGUGGGAACGUGCCUUUAGGUUCGGAAUAACUCAGGGAAACUUGUGCUAAUACCGAAUGUGCCCUUCGGGGGGAAAGAUUUAUCGCCUUUAGAGCGGCCCGCGUCUGAUUAGCUAGUUGGUAA